UUGCUUCUUUCUCUGUGUAUUUGCAGGGGUGAUAAAUAAAGUGUCUCUGCAGAACACAGUAGUGGGUUUCAUUGGCAGUUCUGUUGUCCUGCCGUGUUCAUCAGCUAAACAUGAUUUUAAGCUUGAAGACAUUAAUGUGCACUGGAGACAGAAUGGCAGAAUACAUGUUUAUGACAUUAUUAAAGGCAAAGAUUCAGUGGCAGACCAGGACCCACAAUACAAGAACAGAAUCAAAACUUUCCCUGAGGAGUAUGAGAGAAGAAACUUCUCCAUCAAACUCAAUAAUCUCACCCAUGCUGAUGCAGGAGAGUUCAGCUGCUUCAUCACACACUCAUCUCAUUUUAAACAGGAGACUGAGACUGUACGGCUGUUCAUUAAUGAAACUUGUUUUGGAAAGCAAUCCACUGAUGAAGAAAACAAAGUACCAGAAACACACUCAGAGUGGAAAAUAAUAUUAAUCUGUGUUUGCUUUUCUUUAAUUUUAAUUGCACGUCAUGCAUAAUUGCAUUUUUUAU